UACUUUAGAGACUUACUUAACGAGGAGGGGGAUCGUAACAUAGAGCUAGGGGAGUUGGUGCAUUCAGAGCGACAUAGAGACCUUGGGUACUGCAGGCGCAUUAGGGCGGAUGAGGUCAUGUGGGCUUUGCGUAGGAUAAGUAGGGGUCGAGCGAUCGGGCCUGACGAGAUCCCGGUGGAGUUGUGUAAAUGCAUGGGUAGGUCAGGAGUGGAGUGGCUCUCCAGGUUUUUUAAUGCGAUCUUCAGGACCAAAAAGAUGGAGGAGGAGUGGAGGUGGAGUACAGUGGUGCCCUUGUACAAGAACAAAGGGGACAUCCAGUGCUGCAACAACUAUAGCGGUAUCAAAUUAAUAAGUCACACCAUGAAGGUUUGGGAGAGGGUGAUUGAGCCGCGGGUGAGGGAGGUGACAUCUAGAUCUGGGAACCAGUUCGGUUUCAUGACGGGCCACUCCACUACAGAGGCUAUCCACCUUGUCAGGCGGAUGGCGGAGCAAUUCAGGGAUAAGAAGAAGGACCUGCACAUGGUGCUUAUAAGUCGAGGGUGAGGGAGAUGACAUCUAUAUCUGCAAACCAGUUCGGUUUCAUGCCGAGUCUUUCCACUACAGAAGAUAUCCACCUCGUCAGGAGGCUGGUGGAGCAGUUCAGGGAUAAGAAGAAGGACAUGCACAUGGUGCUUAUCGACUUGGAGAAGGCGUAUGACAAGGUCCCAAGGGAGGUGCUAUGGAGGUGCUUGGAGGCGAACAGCGUGCCGGAAGCCUACAUCAGAGUAAUCAAAGACAUGUACGAUGGAGCUAUGACUAGGGUUAGGAUGGUGGGUGGCGACUCAGACCAUUUUUCCAGUGGUUAUGGGGCUCCAUCAAGGAUCGACGCUUAGUCCUCUCUUGUUUGCCUUGGUGAUGGAUGCUCUAUCCCGUCCUAUUCAAGGGGAUGUGCCUUGGUGUAUGCUAUUUGCUGAUG
rnacentral:lncRNA from 1 species